UAAAAAUUUAUUUAUCUUAGGUAGUAACAGAUUUCUUGAAACCUAAAGAAUUUGGCGGUAUUUUAAAUAAUUAGAGGAACCUGUUAAAUAAAUGACAAUCCACAACAUAUCUUACCUAAAUUAAGUUUGUAUACCGUUGUUUUUAGAUUAUGUUUAAAAAUUAUGAUCAAAAUUAAUUAAUUUUUGUAAAUCAAAUCAAGGUGCAGCAUAUUUAGGCCUUAAUGGGUUACAAUAUAUUUAUAUAUACGAAUUGGUUAUGAAAAUGUUUUUGAAGGUGGAUUUAAAAGUAAUUUAAAAUUAAAAUGUUUAGAUGAAUAAAAAUUUAAAAUAUGU
rnacentral:rRNA from 1 species